AAAUGCAAGGGCGAUCUGGCUGUGACAUCUGUCACCCUAUUGAUCACCAGGGUUGAUUCGGUUGAUCUGGCUGGCUAGGCGGGUGUCCCCUUCCUCUCUCACCUCUCCAUGUGCAUCCCUCCCAAAGCUGCAUGCUCAGUCGAGCAGGACGACCUUCCCCGAACAGAGGAAGACUAGCCUUUGGUCAAAGUAUACGAGUAGCUGCGUUCCCCUGCUAGAACCUCCAAACAAGUUCUCAAAGGCUAGCUAAAGGGAGAAAUAGUGCUUGUACAGGAUAUUGGACAAAGGCCCGGUUGGUAAUUUUCUAUCUCCAUACGCAUAUGUGCAGUCUGCUCUCAUAUGC
rnacentral:snRNA from 1 species